rnacentral:rRNA from 1 species
CAGUCGCCGCGGUAAUACGAAGGGGGCUAGCGUUGCUCGGAAUGACUGGGCGUAAAGGGCGCGUAGGCGGCGAUCAAAGUCAGGCGUGAAAUUCCUGGGCUCAACCUGGGGGCUGCGUUUGAUACUUGGUUGCUAGAGUGAGGAAGAGGGUCGUGGAAUUCCCAGUGUAGAGGUGAAAUUCGUAGAUAUUGGGAAGAACACCGGUGGCGAAGGCGGCGACCUGGUCCUUGACUGACGCUGAGGCGCGAAAGCGUGGGGAGCAAACAGGAUUAGAUACCCCGGUAGUCCCUGUCUCUUAUAC